CGGACGGGCCGGGGCGGCGACAUGUCUCGAACCUGGUCAGGUCUGGAAGGAAGCAGCCAUAAGGGACCGCUGACGAGCGCCCUUGCCCAUCCGGGAUACU
rnacentral:SRP_RNA from 1 species